CCGCGCGUUGUCUAGGAGGAUAAAUAUUGAAUGUAUCUGUAAAUCCACCGCUAGAUGGCGCUCUCUCGUUACUUUACGGUUCUGACCCACGCUGCCCGACACACUAAAUAGCUUAAGCACAAGCGCUCGUGCUCUAAGGUGGUGAUCCUGACUUUACUGAAAAACUGCUUCCAUGACAUUCUACUCAAGAAAAAAACAACAUCUUAAAAGAGGUAAAAGCUGCCACAACUAAUCUCAGUCAGAAUCCACUUGUGAAAGCUAAAUGAAGCCUCCCCCAAAUGAGCUCUCUUCAAAGGCACCUCCAAAAGAGCAGACUUUCAAAUGAGAACAUUUACAUAUCUUGCUCUUAACAAACAAGGGAUGUUUAGUUGUUUGUUCUAUUGGCUGAACAUUUUUUUUAGAACAUUAUAACUUUAUGUAUAUAAAAGAAAUAA